AUUGAACGCUGGCGGCAGGCCUAACACAUGCAAGUCGAACGGAUGAACGGUGAGUGCUUGCGCUUUCGGCUGGCGACGGGCGGGCGAGGGAGAGGUACAUCCCAAGCUGCUUUGGCUUGGGGGCUGACGUAGGGGCUAAUACGGCAUAACUGCAUACGAAGUACGUGGGGGAUCAUGGGAUCUUAGGCUAUUAGGUGAUCCUAUGAGGCGAUGUCGGAUUAGCUAGUUGGUGGGGUAAAGGCCCACCAAGGCGACGAUCCGUAGCUGGUCUGAGAGGAUGAUCAGCCACACUGGAACUGAGACACGGUCCAGACUCCUACGGGAGGCAGCAGUGGGGAAUAUUGGACAAUGGGCGCAAGCCUGAUCCAGCCAUACCGCGUGGGUGAAGAAGGCCUUCGGGUUGUAAAGCCCUUUUGUUGGGAAAGAAAAGCAGCAGGUUAAUACCCCGCUGUUCUGACGGUACCCAAAGAAUAAGCACCGGCUAACUUCGUG
rnacentral:rRNA from 1 species